AGGAAUUGUGGAAGCCAUGACUAAGCUUUAAAAGACCUUGAAGAUUUUUGGAAGCAGUUUUUAAUUUUUUUGAAAGUGGUCUAAACAUUCUUUUUUGCUUCUGUUUAAUGCAUGUUUUAACACCAUCCUGUUAGAAUAAUGCAGUGUAAAAUGCAACUUAAAUAAACCGUAGAUACUGUGCACUACUGACCAAAAGUGUACCAGUCCUACACAUGUUCUCACUCUCUCAGCAACUGCACUCCAGCACUAAUCAAUCAAACAGCACAUCUGUUGCCAGCAAUCAGAUUUUUGGCCAGACUAAUGGGGACCUGCAGCUGUAUUGAAGCCUGGAUUCAGCCUCGAGGCUGAAUCAGACAAGAGAGAAGGAGAACAGAGGAAAGCAACCUCACAGCCUCCAGAAGCCAAUCUACCAAAUCCAGCCCUUCCAGCCAAAAGCAACUGCAAGUGAUGCCACAGAACAAAUCCGCUUGUGUUACAGUAGAGGAUGUGAGUAAUAAAAUAAAUAUAUCAUCCCUGCA